AACGAACGCUGGCGGCAUGCCUAACACAUGCGAGUCGAACGAGAUCUUCGGAUCUAGUGGCGCACGGGUGCGUAACGCGUGGGAAUCUGCCCCUUGCUUCGGAAUAACAGUGAGAAAUUACUGCUAAUACCGGAUGAUGUCUCCGGACCAAAGAUUUAUCGGCAAGGGAUGAGCCCGCGUAGGAUUAGGUAGUUGGUGGGGUAAUGGCCUACCAAGCCGACGAUCCUUAGCUGGUCUGAGAGGAUGAUCAGCCACACUGGGACUGAGACACGGCCCAGACUCCUACGGGAGGCAGCAGUGGGGAAUAUUGGACAAUGGGCGAAAGCCUGAUCCAGCAAUGCCGCGUGAGUGAUGAAGGCCUUAGGGUUGUAAAGCUCUUUUACCAGGGAUGAUAAUGACAGUACCUGGAGAAUAAGCUCCGGCUAACUCCGU
rnacentral:rRNA from 1 species